GUGGGGAAUAUUGGACAAUGGGCGAAAGCCUGAUCCAGCCAUGCCGCGUGUGUGAAGAAGGUCUUCGGAUUGUAAAGCACUUUAAGUUGGGAGGAAGGGCAUUAACCUAAUACGUUAGUGUUUUGACGUUACCGACAGAAUAAGCACCGGCUAACUUCGUGCCAGCAGCCGCGGUAAUACGAAGGGUGCAAGCGUUAAUCGGAAUUACUGGGCGUAAAGCGCGCGUAGGUGGUUCGUUAAGUUGGAUGUGAAAGCCACGGGCUCAACCUGGGAACUGCAUCCAAAACUGGCGAGCUAGAGUACGGUAGAGGGUGGUGGAAUUUCCUGUGUAGCGGUGAAAUGCGUAGAUAUAGGAAGGAACACCAGUGGCGAAGGCGACCACCUGGACUGAUACUGACACUGAGGUGCGAAAGCGUGGGGAGCAAACAGGAUUAGAAACCCGAGUAGUCC
rnacentral:rRNA from 1 species